rnacentral:rRNA from 1 species
UACGUAGGGUGCGAGCGUUAAUCGGAAUUACUGGGCGUAAAGCGUGCGCAGGCGGUUUUUUAAGACAGGCGUGAAAUCCCCGGGCUUAACCUGGGACUGCGUUUGUGACUGGAAGGCUAGAGUAUGGCAGAGGGGGGUGGAAUUCCACGUGUAGCAGUGAAAUGCGUAGAGAUGUGGAGGAACACCGAUGGCGAAGGCAGCCCCCUGGGCCAAUACUGACGCCUCAUGCACGAAAGCUGGGGAGCAAACAGG